UUGUGUUUAUUGAUUGUGCAGGCUGCCCCAGCAGGCAGGGUAAGUUUCCCGGUAGGGAUCGCUUUGUCUCUUCCCUUCUCAUCCUUCGGGCUGUCGACAGACUACACCACCCACGUCUCCCUUUCCUGCUCAGCACUCGAACACCGAGAAGAAAUCGAUUUGUCAAAACGAGUGAGAAGAUAUUUCCCGGAGAUGAAGGCUUAUGAGGACAGACUCCUCGCUUUCUUUCAGAGUAACCUUCCUUAGAGGCUGGAAAGAAGCAGAGGCGGCUCUCGGAUCCCGUGGCUAAGUUUCAGAGUCAUUUUAAGGGCUGUGAAUGUUUGACUCUGCAAUGCUCAAGGAAGAAAUAUCUAAUUAAACAGCUAGAAGAGGCAACACCAAUGUCAAGUAGUAGGCUGCAGCUCAUAGAUUUAGAGAGAAGGCUCGAUUCUCAAGAACAGUUGGUGAUUCUUAGCAAAACCCAAUGUUUAAGAUUCUAAAAAUCCAACGGAGUAGAAUAAAAAAUAUAUAUAUAUA